AUAGCAUUUCCUGCCCUGAAGGAGAAUUCUCACCAAGCAUAGAGGAGAACCCAGUUCAGAGCAGAAGACUUUUCACUCUGCAGGGGAGCGCUGUCAGCAUGACACGUGUGAGCUUGCUGUGGGUAGUCGUGGUCUCCACCUGUCUCGAAUCCAGCAUGGCCCAGACAGUCACUCAGUCUCAACCAGAGAUGUCUGUGCAGGAGGCAGAGACCGUGACCCUGAACUGCACAUAUGACACCAGUGAGAGUAAUUAUUAUUUGUUCUGGUACAAGCAGCCUCCCAGCAGACAGAUGAUUCUCAUUAUUCGCCAAGAAGCUUAUAAGCAACAGAAUGCAAAGGAGAACCGCUUCUCUGUGAACUUCCAGAAAGCAGCCAAAUCCUUCAGUCUCAAGAUCUCGGACUCACAGCUGGGGGACGCCGCGAUGUAUUUCUGUGCUUUCAUGAAGCACACAAUGAGAUGAGCAGCAGGGAGAGGCUUACAGAAACCUCAGACCUCAGCAUCUGUGCAAACGUCAUAGGGUGCGAAGGAAGUGGUGGGGUAAUAGGUAUAGAAAAUCACUGACUUCUCUUGGAAAUAAAAGCUUCUCCUAUUUCUUCUCCUAUAAGAAACUCAGAGAGAUCACUGUCUGCAAGCUUCAAUCCUUUAAGUAACAGUACAGAUAAUGACGUGUGCAGUGCAUUCCAGUUUGACAAAGUGCCUUCACUAAGGUACUUAUUACAGGUCAGAUUUCCUAAGUAUUUUCUCUGUCCAGAAAAUUUUUAUAAUUUGCCUGGGCACUCUUACCUCCAGGAAUUUUAAGUCUUUUCCAUUGGUUAAUUGUUGCUUGUUCUUUUAUUUGUCCAUCUAAUCCAAAGCUGCAUCUCCUCAG